GCGGCAUGCUUUAUACAUGCAAGUCGAACGCGAAAGUGUCUUCGGACAUUAGUAGAGUGGCAAACGGGUGAGUAACGCGUGGGAAUAUACCUUAUAGUACGGAAUAGCCUCGGGAAACUGGGAUUAAUACCGUAUAAGACCUGAGGGGGAAAGAUUUAUCGCUAUAAGAUUAGCCCGCGUCAGAUUAGCUAGUUGGUGGGGUAAUGGCCUACCAAGGCAACGAUCUGUAGCUGGUCUGAGAGGAUGAUCAGCCACAUUGGGACUGAGAUACGGCCCAAACUCCUACGGGAGGCAGCAGUAGGGAAUAUUGGACAAUGGACGAAAGUCUGAUCCAGCAAUGCCGCGUGAGUGAUGAGGGCCUUAGGGUUGUAAAGCUCUUUUAGUGGGGAAGAUAAUGACGGUACCCACAGAAAAAGCACCGGCUAACUUCGUGCCAGCAGCCGCAGUAA
rnacentral:rRNA from 1 species